GCCUCAUAAGUGUCAAACUGCUUUCUUCCUCAUCUAUGUCAACAGACAUUUCAAUUGUGGUUUUCGGACGGUUCUUGUUCAGUCCCUCAAGCAACAUGCAAGAUUUGCAGAUCCUCUGACUGGCCAUAUAACCACAUCUCUCGCAUUGGCCCAUCGUUUGAAGUUUCAUCCGCGGUUGACCCGAUCCUGUACUGCCUUGAAGCUUCCUAUACGGCAAAAUCUCCGUUUCAUCAACAUUGGCAAUCUGAUUUCCCGCCAGUUCUUUUUCCAUCUCUGCCAUUUCUCCAACAUUUAUCCCUCCCCGUUGGCUACCGCACCCGCCAGCCGAAUAGCGUUCUGUCCCUCCCCGCAUCGUCACGGCAAAUGUACGGGUGAGCAAUUUGCCAGACCUACUUAUUUCCAGAGGUACCAGCCUGGCCAUGUCCUCCCCGCUCCUGACUAUAUCCAAUAUAGAGCUCGGGCGCACUUUCUCGAGAUCCUUUAUCAGUGUCCUCGCACUCCCUCGGAAAGCCUCCGGUGAAUAGAUGCAUUCAGUACUAAAAUAACACAAUUUCUUAUAGUGGGCAUACAGGACUAUUUCCUUCUCAUACGCAUACUUGAGCGGUUUGCUCCGUUUGAUAUCACUUGCCGACGACUCUGUCACAAUAUUCGUCGAACGCGCUAGUCGAGGAAGAUCACCUCGUAAUAGAUUCAUCACAAUCGUCUCGGCAACAUCAUCCGCGUUAUGUCCAGUGACAACAUGUCCAAUGCCUAACUUGGCAGCACCCCGGUCAAGCGCCUGUCGUCUGAACACUCCGCAAUAAGUGCAAUUCCCCUUUGUUCCAAUCUCCGCAACCACCUGGUCCAUCGUCCAGCCGUAUAGCUCACCAUAUCCCACUAUUUCUAGCGGCAUGCAAUAUUGCAUUGCAUUGCGCUUAACUGUCUCCAGACUAUCAUCACGGUAUCCCUUAAUUCCCUCAUCGAUUGAGAGAAGCAUAAGUUCCAGGCCAUAGCCGUGGCGUUCAUUCAGCGUUUUGAGAACUGAGGCGAGGACGGUGCUGUCCUUACCACCACUGGCACCGAUGGCGACGCGUUCGCCCUGGAUAAAAAGAGCAUUCGUGGUUAUAGUAUCAUGAAUUUCAGUUUCAAAAAUUUCGACAAAGCAUGCUUUGCAGAGUUUGUGUCUGUUUUUAGGGCGUAUAAUAAGGGCACGAGCGGAUUUGCACCGGUAGCAUAGGGUGGGGGCCAUCAUAGACGGAUACAUGAGUCGAUGGGAGGAGUGAAAACUUG
rnacentral:sRNA from 1 species